UCAAUGGUCGGUACAGAGGGUUGCCAAGCCGCGAGGCGGAGCCAAUCCCUUAAAGCCGAUCGUAGUCCGGAUCGUAGUCUGCAACUCGACUACGUGAAGUCGGAAUCGCUAGUAAUCGCAGAUCAGCAUGCUGCGGUGAAUACGUUCCCGGGUCUU
rnacentral:rRNA from 1 species